GCUUAGGCGCGUAUAUACCAUGCAAGUCGAGCGGAGCAGUGGAGCUUGCUCCAUGAUUCAGCGGCGGACGGGGGAGUAAUGCCUAUGAAUCUGCCUGGUACUGGGGACAACGUUUCAAAAGGAACGCUAAUACCGGAUACGUCCUACGGGAGAAAGUGGGGGAUCUUCGGACCUCACGCUAUCAUAUGAGCCUAGGUCGGAUUAGCUAGUUGGUGAGGUAAAGGCUCACCAAGGCGACGAUCCGUAACUGGUCUGAGAGGAUGAUCAGUCACACUGGAACUGAGACACGGUCCAGACUCCUACGGGAGGCAGCAGUGGGGAAUAUUGGACAAUGGGCGAAAGCCUGAUCCAGCCAUGCCGCGUGUGUGAAGAAGGUCUUCGGAUUGUAAAGCACUUUAAGUUGGGAGGAAGGGCAGUAAGUUAAUACCUUGCUGUUUUGACGUUACCGACAGAAUAAGCACCGGCUAACUUCGUGCCAGCAGCCGCGGUAAUAA
rnacentral:rRNA from 2 species